UGGGGGAAUUUUUGGACAAUGGGGCGAAAGCCUGAUCCAGCAAUGCCGCGUGUGUGAAGAAGGCCUUCGGGUUGUAAAGCACUUUUGUCCGGAAAGAAAUCCUUGGCUCUAAUACAGUCGGGGGAUGACGGUACCGGAAGAAUAAGCACCGGCUAACUACGUGCCAGCAGCCGCGGUAAUACGUAGGGUGCAAGCGUUAUCGGAAUUACUGGGCGUAAAGCGUGCGCAGGCGGUUUGCUAAGACCGAUGUGAAAUCCCCGGGCUCAACCUGGGAACUGCAUUGGUGACUGGCAGGCUAGAGUAUGGCAGAGGGGGGUAGAAUUCCACGUGUAGCAGUGAAAUGCGUAGAGAUGUGGAGGAAUACCGAUGGCGAAGGCAGCCCCCUGGGCCAAUACUGACGCUCAUGCACGAAAGCGUGGGGGAGCAAACAGGAUUAGAUACCCUGGUAGUCCACGCCCUAAACGAUGUCAACUAGUUGUUGGGGGACUUCAUUUCCUUAGUAACGUAGCUAACGCGUGAAGUUGACCGCCUGGGGGAGUACGGUCACAAGAUUAAAACUUAAGGAAUUGACGGGGUCAUAGCUGUUUCCU
rnacentral:rRNA from 1 species